GUUACAAAUGAGGACAUCCAAUAAAAUUGGGACGAUAUAGAGAAGAUUAGCAUGAGUCUGCAUCAGGAUGACACAUAUAAAUCGAGAAUGGUAUCAGAGUCAA